rnacentral:rRNA from 1 species
UACGUAGGUGGCAAGCGUUAUCCGGAAUUAUUGGGCGUAAAGCGCGCGCAGGCGGUUUUUUAAGUCUGAUGUGAAAGCCCACGGCUCAACCGUGGAGGGUCAUUGGAAACUGGGGAACUUGAGUGCAGAAGAGAAAAGCGGAAUUCCGCGUGUAGCGGUGAAAUGCGUAGAGAUGUGGAGGAACACCAGUGGCGAAGGCGGCUUUUUGGUCUGUAACUGACGCUGAGGCGCGAAAGCG